rnacentral:lncRNA from 1 species
UUGAGCAGGGUGUACGAUCUUUAAGGUACAUAAGUUGGCAGGGUGUACGAUCUUUAAAUUUGAUUAUGAAUUGAGGUUUGCCUGGUCAUACCUUUUUAUUUAGCAAUCAGCUUUCGUGGAUUUGAAUUUUUUAAGUGUGCAGUUCUAAUAGCUAGGAUACAAGUUGAAGUGACACAUAUUUAGUCCCAAAAAAUAAGAUUAGAUAAGACAUAUUAAAUAAUAUUGAAUAUAUAAAAUGAAAUUAAAAUUAAAGAACUAAAAUAUGAGAUAGAGAUUGGAGAUUGGAGAUGGAUAAGAUUGUUUG